rnacentral:rRNA from 1 species
UACGGAAGGCAGCAGUGGGGAAUAUUGCACAAUGGGCGCAAGCCUGAUGCAGCCAUGCCGCGUGUAUGAAGAAGGCCUUCGGGUUGUAAAGUACUUUCAGUCGUGAGGAAGGUGUUAAGGUUAAUAACCUUAGCAAUUGACGUUAGCGACAGAAGAAGCACCGGCUAACUCCGUGCCAGCAGCCGCGGUAAUACGGAGGUGCGAGCGUUAAUCGGAAUUACUGGGCGUAAAGGGCACGCAGGCGGUUAAUUAAGUUGGAUGUGAAAUCCCCGGGCUUAACCUGGGAAUGGCAUUCAAGACUGGUUAGCUAGAGUCUUGUAGAGGGGGUAGAAUUCCAUGUGUAGCGGUGAAAUGCGUAGAGAUGUGGAGGAAUACCGGUGGCGAAGGCGGCCCCUGGACAAGACUGACGCUCAUGUGCGAAAGCGUGGGGAGC